AUUGAACGCUGGCGGCAGGCCUAACACAUGCAAGUCGAACGGUAACAGGAAGAAGCUUGCUUCUUUGCUGACGAGUGGCGGACGGGUGAGUAAUGUCUGGGAAACUGCCUGAUGGAGGGGGAUAACUACUGGAAACGGUAGCUAAUACCGCAUAACGUCGCAAGACCAAAGAGGGGGACCUUCGGGCCUCUUGCCAUCGGAUGUGCCCAGAUGGGAUUAGCUAGUAGGUGGGGUAACGGCUCACCUAGGCGACGAUCCCUAGCUGGUCUGGGAGGAUGACCAGCCACACUGGAACUGAGACACGGUCCAGACUCCUACGGGAGGCAGCAGUGGGGAAUAUUGCACAAUGGGCGCAAGCCUGAUGCAGCCAUGCCGCGUGUAUGAAGAAGGCCUUCGGGUUGUAAAGUACUUUCAGCGGGGAGGAAGGGAGUAAAGUUAAUACCUUUGCUCAUUGACGUUACCCGCAGAAGAAGCACCGGCUAACUCCGUG
rnacentral:rRNA from 1 species